GCGAAUUGAGAAGUCACUGCGAGAGAGAAAGAUAGAGGUAUUUUUCUUUAAGUUUUCAAUCUUUGAUUAAACGAUCGGAAGGUGAUUUUAACUCCGAUUUCUCCCAAUUUUGUAGGGUAAGUUCCUGACAUCUCCCUCUACAUUUCUGUUGGUGUUGAUCUGUAUUUUAUGCUAUCAAUAUAUGUUAUUUGAGAUAUUCAUUUAUUAAAGAAAUAGAUAUUAGAUCUAUUAUUAUAAGCCAAGAUUGUUGAGAAUCUUGAUGUUGUUAGCCUCUAGUGUUAUAAGAAAAAUUUGUGCUAUAAUCCCAAUUUAUAUCGGACUAUGGUCUCGUGGUUUUUCUCGAUUUGGGUUUUCCACAUAAAAAUUGGUGUUUCUUGUGGUUGAUUUAUUGCUUUAGAUUUGUUGGUUUAUUUUUCUACCUAUUUGUUUGUAGUGCAUAUCUUAUUUUAAUCACAUAAAGAGAGAAAAAGUUUUUUUUCUACUUAAUUGGCAGUUGCUUUUGUGAGUCUCUUUCCCAGCUCCUUCGAUAGUUAUGAGUUUGGAUGGAAUCCCUACAUUUUCAAUGUGAUGUUCUAAGCCUAGGCUUCUAAUGAGUGGCUGAACUUGGGAUUUCCGGAGAAUGUAAUUAUGAGAAGAAAGCUUAAUAGAGAUGAGGCUAGCACAAUGAUAAAAGGUCUCAAAGGUUAAUUUCGGCUCAAUUUGGUCUUUUUUCAGCCGUAACUUUAAUACCAUUUAGAAACCAAAGUUUUUAUAUUUGAAAAGUAUUAUAUUCACUUAUAUUUUUACAAGAGGCUACAAGACUUUAUGUAUUGCAAUUUCUAUACAGAUAAAAGGAAGUUCUGUUAAUACAGCGUGAUUUGAAGCAUGAUUUACGGGCCAUUGCUUGAUUUUGGCAAAUCUUGAUCGGGUUUAAUGCUUGCAUUCCUAUCAAAAGUAUACCAAGAAUUGCAUUUUAAAAAAUUGUGAGCCACUUCGGCCUUGGUCGGAGUGGUGGGCUGCUGCCCUCACAAGCAUUGUGAGGGCAGCGGUUCAAGCCCCCACAAAAGCAUUUGUGGGGGCUAACGUGCUUAUUUGUUUAAUAUUUCAAAAAUUUCCUCUCUCUCGUGCAAUACGAGUGGAGUAUGGACAUCCCUCUUCUGUAAGGGAUUAUUUGUCUGGGCAUGUACUUCACAGAAUUCAAUGUAAUAAUAUAAGUCCCAAUCAUGUAUUUCUGAUUAUAAAUAUCAGUGUAAUAUAUCUGCUAUAAUAGCAGUUGUAAAUAUCUGUGUAAUGCAGUAAUAUGAUGAUUAAUCAGUAUUCAAAAAAAAA
rnacentral:lncRNA from 1 species